rnacentral:rRNA from 1 species
UACGUAGGGGGCAAGCGUUGUCCGGAAUCAUUGGGCGUAAAGAGCGUGUAGGCGGCCCGGUAAGUCCGCUGUGAAAGUCCAGGGCUCAACCCUGGGAUGCCGGUGGAUACUGUCGGGCUCGAGUCCGGAAGAGGAGUGUGGAAUUCCUGGUGUAGCGGUGAAAUGCGGCAGAUAUCAGGAGGAACACCAAUGGCGAAGGCAGCACUCUGGGACGUGACUGACGCUGAGACGCGAAAGCGUGGGGAGCAAACAGG